CGCGAGACUUUGCGAGACGCCUCCGUGUGCCAAAACUAGGCUGCGGGCACAGCCACGCCCAAUAAACGGGUGGGCUAUAGCCUUGGGGGGUGGGGCUGGCCAAGUUCGUCCGCCGGACUCGGAAUGGCGCGAGACUUUGCGAGGCGCCUCCGUGUACCGAAAAUAGGCCGCGGGCACAGCCGCACCCAAAAAUAACCGCCCGAAGCCCGGGGCGCCAAGUUCGUCCAGCGGAAAAAGACCACAAAAACGUGUGGGCUAUAUCCUUCGGCGGUGGAGCUGGCCCACUUCGUCCGCCGGACUCGGAAUGGCGCGAGACUUUGCGAGGCACCUGCGUGUGCUAAAAAUAGGCCACGGGCACAGCCGAGCCCAAAAAUAACUGCCCGAAGGCCGGGGAGACAAGUUCGUCCAGCGGAAAAAGGCCACACAAACGGGUGGGUUAUAGCCUUCGAGGGUGCGGCUGGCCAACUUCGUCCGCCGCACUCGGAAUGGCGCGAGAAUUUGCAAGGUGCCUCCGUGUGCCAAAAAUAGUCCGCGGGCACAGCCGCGCCCAAAAAUAACCGCCCGAAGGCCGGGGCGCCAAGUUCGUCCAGCGGAAAAUGGCCACAAAAACGGGUGGGCUAUAGCCUUGGGGGGUGGGGCUGGCCGACUUCGUCCGCCGGACUCGGAAUGGCACGGGACUUUGUGAGGCGGUUCCGUGUGCCAAAAAUAGCCUGCGGGCACAGCCGAGCACAAAAAUAACCGCCCGAAGGCCGGGCCGCCAAGUUCGUCCAGCGGAAAAAGGCCACAAAAACGGGUGGGCUAUAACCUUGGGGGGUGGGGCUGGCCCACUUCGUCCGCCGGACUCAGAAUGGCGCGAGACUUUGCGAGACGCCUCCGUGUGCCAAAACUAGGCUGCGGGCACAGCCACGCCCAAUAAACGGGUGGGCUAUAGCCUUGGGGGGUGGGGCUGGCCAAGUUCGUCCGCCGGACUCGGAAUGGCGCGAGACUUUGCGAGGCGCCUCCGUGUACCGAAAAUAGGCCGCGGGCACAGCCGCACCCAAAAAUAACCGCCCGAAGCCCGGGGCGCCAAGUUCGUCCAGCGGAAAAAGACCACAAAAACGUGUGGGCUAUAUCCUUCGGCGGUGGAGCUGGCCCACUUCGUCCGCCGGACUCGGAAUGGCGCGAGACUUUGCGAGGCACCUGCGUGUGCUAAAAAUAGGCCACGGGCACAGCCGAGCCCAAAAAUAACUGCCCGAAGGCCGGGGAGACAAGUUCGUCCAGCGGAAAAAGGCCACACAAACGGGUGGGUUAUAGCCUUCGAGGGUGCGGCUGGCCAACUUCGUCCGCCGCACUCGGAAUGGCGCGAGAAUUUGCAAGGUGCCUCCGUGUGCCAAAAAUAGUCCGCGGGCACAGCCGCGCCCAAAAAUAACCGCCCGAAGGCCGGGGCGCCAAGUUCGUCCAGCGGAAAAUGGCCACAAAAACGGGUGGGCUAUAGCCUUGGGGGGUGGGGCUGGCCGACUUCGUCCGCCGGACUCGGAAUGGCACGGGACUUUGUGAGGCGGUUCCGUGUGCCAAAAAUAGCCUGCGGGCACAGCCGUACCCAAAAAUAACCGCCCGAAGGCCGGGGCGCCAAGUUCGUCCAGAGGAAAAAGGCCACAAAAACGGGUCAGCUAUAGCCUUGGGGGGUGGGGCU
rnacentral:lncRNA from 1 species